AAUGGGCGAAAGCCUGAUGCAGCAACGCCGCGUGAGCGAAGAAGGCCUUUGGGUCGUAAAGCUCUGUCCUUGGGGAAGAAACAAAUGACGGUACCCUUGGAGGAAGCCCCGGCUAACUACGUGCCAGCAGCCGCGGUAAUACGUAGGGGGCGAGCGUUAUCCGGAAUUAUUGGGCGUAAAGAGUGCGGAGGUGGUUCUUUAAGCGNGGGGUGAAAGGCAGUGGCUUAACCAUUGUAAGCCCUGCGAACUGGAGAACUUGAGUGCAGGAGAGGAAAGCGGAAUUCCUAGUGUAGCGGUGAAAUGCGUAGAUGUUAGGAGGAACACCAGUGGCGAAGGCGGCUUUCUGGACUGUAACUGACACUGAGGCACGAAAGCGUGGGGAGCAAA
rnacentral:rRNA from 1 species